GCCAUCUUCCUGCUCUCCCCCCCGCCCCCCAGCCCCUAACUCCGGGCCUGCACACAGGGGCUGCUGAGGAUGCAUCGUAAGGCUGCAUUCACGAUGUGGAGCCCUGUGGGGCAGAAGGUGAACGACCAGUGAUCUUUAACUCUAUUUGGGCUUGUUUUCAUCUCCAGGCCACUUUCAUUUCCGCCAGACACAUGGAAUAGGCAUCUAGAACUAGGAGGGCCGAGGAUCUGGUGCUGUGGAGACCCACGUCGGGUGUGGACAGCGGGCCUGGAGUCCAUAGCAUGCAGGGUCUGAGGUCAAGGCCAGGGUUCUAGUUGAAGGCCUGAGCUGGUACUUGGCACUUGUCAGCCUGACACCUGCUUCACAAAUGAGUGAUGUGACCAAGACCUGUGGGGUGACAGGGAGCUGGUGCCAGGAGCAGCCCUCUGCUGCCUGGAAGUGCUCAGUAAACACUUGUUAAUCAUUUCCUGCCUGGUGAGCCCUGCAGUGUGCCCAAGGGAGCCCUGGUUCACGUGGGGGACGGGAUGCUGUCAUCCACAUGGCCCAACCUCCUGCCCUUCUGGCUCUCUGGGAGCUGGGCUGGUGGCGCCAACCUGAGGAAGCGGGCAGUGAGGGUGUCAGCAAGGGGGCCUCACUGCUGCCAGGUGGCCUCUUGACCCAGUGAGCUAAACAGAAGCAUGUGACAUACCCUGCAGGUGGCCACCCAGGGACUCUGGGAUGCUGGGGCCUCACUUGAUCACAUACCCAGAUCCCUUCUACUCAACUCUCUUCAGAGGAAGUCCUGCCUGGUGGAGGGGGGCGGUGUUGGUGAGGACAGCCUCUGGGAUCUUUGCUUUGACUUUUGGGUGUUUCUCUGCAUGCAGGCAGGUGGCCCUAAGCCAGGAGGCUGGGAGUUAGUCUUGCUGAAGUCAGGCUGAGCAAGUGAGUUCUGGAAUGUUCAGGGGCAGCCAGAGUGUCCCUGUGUCCAGGCAUAGGGGGCUGUUUAGGCCAACUGUUAUGGGACUCUUAUCUCUGGAGCAACCCCUUCUCUGUCUUAGAACCCACUAGGGCUGUGAGAACACAUAUGGGUCUAUCUUCUAUUCUGUGGGAGAAGAAAAAGAGAUUUGUGGUCAAGCAAAUUUGGAGAACUCUGGGCUAACCCAAAUCCAACAGGUGUCUUUCCUGAAGGACUUCUAAGAAACUUUAAUAUUCUUCUGACCCUUUAAGAGAGAGAGGAGUAUAAAAAAGCCCUAUUUACUGUGGAUUUUUAUCUUACCUCCUGUUUCUCUCUCUCUCUUUGGAAGUAUCUUAUGAGACCGGUGUUUUCGAGAACCUGCCAUAGGAAACUCAUUCAUUCAUUCAGCAAAUAUUUAUUGAAGACUCACUAUGUGCCAGUGACCAUUCUAGGUACUUGGGAUACAUCAUGACCAGUUCAGACCAAGAGUCCUUCCCUGGAGCAACUUACGUUAUCAUUGAAACAACGAAGUGCUGUUCGUGGAGCACCUACUCUGUGUUAGGCAUGUCCAAUGGAGAAACUCCUCUGAGGCUCUGGGUCAGGCAGAGAAAGAUGAAUGGCUCCAGAACAGCAGCCACCGUUUCGUGGGUUCCGAAGGAAGCUGGGUUGGCCGGAUUGGAGGUCUUGAGUGGCUCGAACUGACCCGAAUGUCACAUGUGUGGUUUGAGCCGAGCUGCGGGCUGUGGAUUCCUUGUUGGUGCCAGCUGCCCACCUUCUUCCUGCUUCUGGUGCCAAGGAUUCUAAGCUGGAACACACAGGAUGAGCCGGGUAUGCUCUUUGCAGCUAUUUGCCAUUCAUUAUGCUCAAGGCAGCUUUGGGGAGAGAAGGAAAGGAGGAGCCGUGGGACUGAUGAGGAUCCUGAGGUUGAAUGACUUUCUCCAUUGGGUGAUGCCUAAGCCUGUACCCCAACAUGAGACUGGACUGCCCCAGUGUGAGCUCACUGCACCCUGCUGUAGGGGUAGAAGGUGGCCUGGGAGGAGCUCAGGAUAUAGGAUUUGGACCACAUGACGCUUGAGUCCUGGCCACAACUGUGUGCAUGUAGGCAUGUCACUCCCCUGAGCUUCAGUAGCGUCAUCUUUAAAAGGGGCAUCCUAAUUCCUGCCCUGCCAGCUUGAGAAAAUGAGGGAGUGUGUGUGGUGUUAAAUGCCAUGCCUGUAUGCCAUGCCCUGUCUGCAUUGUGCUAGUGGUGACAAUGAUAGUGAUGGCAUUGCUGCUGCUAGUUGGCAAACAUUACAGGUACGUUGGCUCUGGACCAGUCACUGGGAUCAACUUUACAUGCAUCAUCUUAAUGAGAGCAUGAAAUAAGCAGAUGAGUAGGGACUCUGAUACCCUCUUCUUACAGAUGGAAAAGAUUAAAUAAUUUGCUUGAAAAAGAUUAAGUAGUUUGCUCAAAGUCACAGAGCUGUCAAGUGGUAGAGCCAGGAUUUGAACCCAGGCAGCUGACCCUACAGCUGAACUUACUGCCACAGUCAUAUAGGAAAGGGCAGAAGUCUGGGACCUUUUUGGGUAAUGGCAUUCCAUGCACAUCGGUGUGGAAGGGCACUCUGAAUCCUCUGGGGCAGGGACUGGGCUUGGGUGGUCCCUGGAGGGGCCUUAGAAUCAGAGACUUAGUGGGAUAAGAGCCCUGGGUGAUAGAACUCAUCUCUGAGCUUCAGAUUUCUCACUUGUGAGAUGGGCUAUGCUGAUAUGCCUCCAGAGAUUAAAUGAAAUACAGUCCCGUAGAUGCUUGUACAUUGCUAUCAAAAUGUCUGUGGUACAUGAAUGACAUUCUGCAAACAGGGAGAGUAGACGUAAACUAGUAGGAACGGCCACCUCUGGUUUUUAGGAUCCUGUUCCUUGCCAGAUGGCUUUAUCACUGCCAGAGCUCUGCCUAUGGAGCAUGGGGUCACCUCCCGGCUGGGGAGCGGCAGCUGUGUGAUGGCCACUCCAAGCAAGCCACUGACCUUGUGCUUCUCCUCUGUGAGGGGUGUGCCUCCUGCACUCCUGCCUGUGUGCACCGUGUCUGCAGAUGUGCUCUGAUGGACCUGGGAAGCACCUUGCAGGGCCCUGCCAGGCCUACCAGCUGCAGAGUGCCUGUAGGGGAAUGGAUGCAGGGACGAGGCUGAGGAUGGGUGAGUGUGUCACAAGUUUCUCAGACAGCUCUGGGCAGAGAUGCCAGGAAGCAGAAAGUCAUAGGAUCAUCGUUGACUCCUGGGAACUUUUGUGGUUUUAAAAGUACUUUAUAAACUAUAAAGCCCUGUGGAAAUGUCAGUUAGUUCCUGUACAACAUGGAACAGAAACAGAAUGCACAAGAAAUAAUGGAUCUACCAGGCUGGGGUGGGGAGAUGCAUGUGUUUGCAUGUAUGAACGCGAUUUAUUUCUGAUUUAAAAAAAUCAGAUCUUGGAAAACAGCACUGGAAUAA